UACAGGGGGGGCAAGCGUUGUUCGGAAUUACUGGGCGUAAAGGGCUCGUAGGUGGCCGACUAAGUCAGACGUGAAAUCCCUCAGCUUAACUGGGGAACUGCGUCUGAUACUGGAUGGCUUGAGUUUGGGAGAGGGAUGCGGAAUUCCGGGUGUAGCGGUGAAAUGCGUAGAUAUCCGGAGGAACACCGGUGGCGAAGGCGGCUUCCUGGACCGACACUGACGCUGAGGCGCGAAAGCUAGGGGAGCAAACGGG
rnacentral:rRNA from 1 species